AAAAAAAAAAAAAAAAAUUUAAUACUGUAAUGCGGGUGAUUCCACCCACCAUUACACUCAAUGAGCAUAUGCCCUGGAGUGAGCGUGAGAUGGGAGACGUGAAUCUGCUGUUCCCUCAGUCGGUCUCAGUUCCAGCGUGCCUCUCAUUGUGUGAGCAUCUUGCCGCGCUGAGUGUGUUUCUACUGUUUACAGAUGCAUAUUUUUUGUACAACAU